rnacentral:rRNA from 1 species
AGCUGGUCUGAGAGGAUGAUCAGCCACACCGGGACUGAGACACGGACCGGACUCCUACGGGAGGCAGCAGUGGGGAAUAUAGGACAAUGGGCGCAAGCCUGAUCCAGCAAUGCCGCGUGUGUGAAGAAGGACUGCGGGUUGUAAAGCACUUAUAUUGGGGAAGAGACGGCCUGGCUUAAUACGCCAUGGCAAUUGACGGUACCUAAGGAAUAAGCACCGCCUAACUCCGUGCCAGCACCCGCGGUAAUACGGAGGGUGCAAGCGUUAAUCGGAAUUACUGGGCGUAAAGCGUGCGUAGGCGGCUAUCUAAGUCGGAUGUGAAAGCCCCUGGGCUUAACCUGGGAACUGCAUUCGAUACUGGGGUAGCUAGAGUUUGGUAGAGGUAAGUGGAAUUCCAGGUGUAGCGGUGAAAUGCGUAGACAUCUGGAGGAACACCAGUGGCGAAGGCGGCUUACUGGACCAAAACUGACGCUGAGGUACGAAAGCGUGGGUAGCAAACAGGAUUAGAUACCCUGGUAGUCCACGCCCUAAACGAUGAGAACUAGUUGUUGGGAGCCUUAAUAGCUCUUAGUGACGAAGCUAACGCGUUAAGUUCUCCGCCUGGGGAGUACGGCCGCAAGGUUGAAACUCAAAGGAAUUGACGGGGGCCCGCACAAGCGGUGGAGCAUGUGGUUUAAUUCGAUGCAACGCGAAGAACCUUACCAGCCCUUGACAUCCUCGGAACUUACUAGAGAUAGUUUGGUGCCUUCGGGAACCGAGUGACAGGUGCUGCAUGGCUGUCGUCAGCUCGUGUCGUGAGAUGUUGGGUUAAGUCCCGCAACGAGCGCAACCCUUAUCCUUAGUUGCCAGCGAUUCGGUCGGGAACUCUAAGGAGACUGCCGGUGAUAAACCGGAGGAAGGUGGGGAUGACGUCAAGCCAUCAUGGCCCUUACGGGCUGGGCUACACACGUGCUACAAUGGUCGGUACAGAGGGCAGCAAACUCGCAAGAGCUAGCAAAUCCCACAAAGCCGAUCUUAGUCCGGAUCGCAGUCUGCAACUCGACUGCGUGAAGUCGGAAUCGCUAGUAAUCGUGGAUCAGCAUUGCCACGGUGAAUACGUUCCCGGGCCNUUGUACACACCGCCCGUCACACCAUGGGAGUUGGCUGCACCAGAAGCAGGUAGUCUAACCGUAAGGAGGACGCUUGCCACGGUGUGGUCAAUGACUGG